AAAAAAAAAAAAAAAAAAAAAAAAAACGGGAAGGAAGGAAGGAAAGAAAGGAAAGAAAGAAAGAAAGAAGAGCAGGCUGUGGGGAUCUGGAGAGCAUGGGCGGGGCAGGGAAUUGGCAGAGGAUGAGGUCUGACACGGAUGGUCAAGGAACACCCAAGUGAAGAAUCAGAAGCAAACAAGGUUGUCAGUCUGUAGAUAGGUGGGGGAAGAGGGCUCCUGGAAGAGGGGGUGCAAAGGUCCUCAGAAGAGAGCACUUCCAGCCUGUUAGGGGAAGGACCAGCAAUGGGUGUGGCUGGAGCCAGGUGGGUGGGGCAGUCAGAGAUGGGGGCAGGAGACACACAGUGUCACUCUGGGUCAGAUGCAGAGCCACUGCAGGCAGCUGAGCAGAGGAGUGGUGCCCGAUGGAUGUCUUCAAAUCCGCUCUUGGCUGCCGAGUUGAGAUUAGGCAAAGGCAGAAGACAGAAGACCAAGUAGAAGCUAUUAGCAUAAUCUAAGUGACAGAUGAUGACCAGAGUGGUCCCCACAGGUGUCAUGAGAAGUGGACAGCUUCUGGGUAUAGAACCUAUUUAUUUUUUUAAAAAGUGAUAAUUUUAUUGUAAAAGUAGCAUUGAAGUAAAUGCUAACCCAUAAUGUACAUCAUCAUUAUACAUUAUUUUUCCAGGCACAAAAGGCUCAUUCUUAUAGAAGUCAUUAUAUUCUUCCCCAAAAACAAAAGCACAUGCUUUUUUUGAAAAAUGGAAAACUUGGGAAAUAUAGAGAAGAUUAAAGAGGAAAAUAAAAAUCAUCCAUAAUCCUUUUGGUCAGAGAUAACUGUUGUUAAUAUUUUGCAUAUAUUUUUUUUCAUUCUUAAUGACUAAAUUUAUGUUGCACAUUACUUUCUUGCCAGUAGGCACACAUGCAUAUUUUUAACAUUUGUAAUCUUAGCAAACACAGUUAAAUAUUCUUUCUCCAAAUAUCUACAGCCUUCAUAAUUAUUUUAAGACUGAGUAAUACUUCAACAUGUUGAUGUACCAUAAUUUAUUAAACUACUUUCCCUUUAUGGAAGGAAAAUCUAUGUGUUUCCAAUUUUUCUUUUUUUUUUUUGCUAUAGAAGUCUAUGCUGAAAUCUUCAUUUAGGUAGCUUUUGCAUCUUUUGAAUUACUUCUUUAGGACAAAUGUCCAGGAAUAGGAUUGGUAGGUCAAAUUACAUGAAAAUUUUUAUGGAUUUUGCUUUUACUUUUCAAUGCAUUAUAUAGCAAAGCACGUAACAACUUCAUUGUAGCAUCUUCAGUUUUGUGGUUACUGCUUUUUAAAAUUUUCCCUAAUUUUGUUGAUUGAAAAUGGAAACUAAACUUCAAAAACUUUCCAUGCUGCUGAUUACUGUUAAGUAUUAACAUUUCCCAUGCCUCCCAACACACUUUUAAUACUAAAAUGAAAACAUGAAGGCACAGUUACAUUGUUGUCAUAAUCCAGACACUCUAUUCCAAUUAAAGCCAAGGAAAGUAGGACUGCUGGGGGCUGAGAGAGAAAUGUCUUUGUUCUUACUAUUCAUAUUUACAUGAAGCAUUACACCUCUCAAAAUAUGUAUGGUCUUGAACAUGGUCUUGAAAACGCAUGCAAGAUUUUAAUGAAUCAAAUCUUAUUUAAAUACGUAUCUUUUCGUUGAGCCAACAAACAGAAUAUGUACAUGCAACAGACAUGGGACAUGACCAUGACCGUGAACCAGACUGGUCUCUGCUCUCGAGGAACUUCCAAUCUAGUGGGAAGAGCCAUGUGAAUUUCAAACGGGCAUAUAUGACACUUGCUGAGCACCUGCUUUAUGCAAAGCACUGGGGAUACAAAAAGAAAGAUGUGCGCACUGCCCUCCAGGAGCUCCCAGCCCAGUGCAGGGAGGCAGAGAGACACUUGCUGAGCACUUGCUUUGUGCCAAGCACUGGGGAUACAAAAAGAAAGAGAUGCCCACUGCCCUCCAGGAGCUCCCAGCCUUGAGCACACCCCUCGUGCAUUGGUUCGGGGCCCUUGGAAUGCAACCUAAAGGUACAUUAUCUAAGAGGAAGAGGAAUCUCCAGAUUCCUAGAUGUAUCUUCUCUAAGCCAGUGCUGCUGACUUAACCUCAACUACCAGAGGACAACCUGAGCCACAGAAAGUCAUUUAAGUUGCAAAGGCAAAAAGAGCUCCUCCUGUAGCACGAUGGGUGGUGAAGUGCAUGCUGCCCAGGCCCAGACGACUAUGAGCUCUUGUCCUUGGGUCUAUCCAAGAAGAGGAAUGGAGCCCUGGGCCCAGGAUGGCUUAUACAUUCCCUGUCUGGAGACAGAGGCUGGGUGACCUCUCAGGACCCUCUCAGUUCUAUAACUCCACAGCCCACUAGGGUUGGGGUCUUCAUGGCUUGUAACUGGAGAUUUUGCUAAAAGCAGGUGCUACUGCAAAGUUGUGAGUGCAAACAGGCUUCUUUCUGCAAAACGCUCAGAUCUGAGAUUCAACAAUUGCUAUCGAGCCCUCUGACCCAGCCAGUAGCCAGCCUGCAGGGGACUGUUUCUGAAGCAUUUACACCGGGCGCCAGGUGAACAAGGAGGCUGACAGCCUAGCUGAGCUCCAGAAGCUCUGGCAUUUGGAGAACAUCUUCCCUUAUUUAAUGCUUAGCCUGUGCCUAAACUGACACACCUUACGUCAGGAUAGGGUGGUUGGGCAAGUGGGUGUGUGUAGAGGUUGCUGUACAAGUCAAAUGACAUUUUCUGCCUGAAGGAGAUCACAGAAUUAGGGAAUGUUGAGUUCAAAAUUCCUACAGAACAAUCUGCCUGCUGUACCAGCGUGUCAUUUCCCCAUUCUCCUUCCCCUUCUCCAACUACUGUUCAGUCUGUACCCCAUUAACCUGCCUUUGCUUUUCUUCAUUUUUUUAUGAUUACCUGUAAUUAUCUUAUUUGUUGGCUUUUUUAUUUAUCAGCUGUUUCCCCAAUCCCAAUAUAAGGUUCAUGAAAGCAGGGGCCUUGCCUGUCUGUGCCCCAGGCACCCAGUGCCUGGCUGGUAAGCACAUAUUGAAUAAUAAAUGAGCAUCCCAUGAACUCUA